UAGUCUGAAAUUAAUAAAUUUGUUUUAGUUAAAGUGGAAAUAUGUUAGUUUAAAUUAAAUAAAUUGAAGUUUUUGUAAAAUGAAUUGAUAAAAUUGUUUUUACUAUAGUGAAUUAGUACUGUGAAGGAAAAUUUAAAUUAAUUGUAUAAUUAAUUAAAGGUGAUUUUGUUUAUUGUAUCUUGUGUAUCAGAGUAUAUUUAAAUGAAUUAAAUAUUUUUUUCUUCUCGAAUUUAAAAGAUUUAAUUAAAAAUAUUAGUUAUUGUGUCAUAAAUAUUAAUAAUUUUUAAUUGGUAAUGAAACGUUAUUCGUUUUUAAGGAUAUCUAGUUUUUUAAUAAACGAAUUUAAUUCGGAAAACUUAAAUUAUUAAAUAAUUUUUUAUUUAAAUAUUUUAUGUUUUUUAUUUUUAAGGGGAUUAACUCUUUAAAAGAUAAUUAUAAUAAGGUUAUUUUCAAGAGGAUUUUAUAAAUUUAGAAUUUGUUAAUAGUUAAAGGAUGUUAAAAUUUAAUUCUUGUUUUAAUUAAUUUUUAAUUUUUAUUUAAUUUUUUUAUUAAAAUGUUAGGUUUAAUUUAAAAGUUUUAGAAAUUAUGAUUUAAUUAGUAAAAUUUGAGGUUUAUUUUGUUGAAUUUAUUGAAUUGUUUAUAUAAAGAAUUAGGCAAAUAUUUUGCUCACCUGUUUAUUAAAAACAUGGUUUCUUGAAAUUGUUUAAGAGAUCUAACCUGCCCACUGAAGCAAUUUUUAAGGGCCGCAGUAUUUUGACUGUGCAAAGGUAGCAUAAUCAUUAGUCUUUUAAUUGAAGGCUGGUAUGAAUGGUUGGAUGAGGUGAAUUCUGUUUUAUGUUAAUUUUAAUUGAAUUUAGAUUUUAAGUUAAAAGACUUAAAUAUUAUUAAGGGACGAGAAGACCCUAUAGAGUUUUAUAAUUGUAAUAAUUAAUUGAGUUAAAUAUAAAUUUUUGGUUAUAUGUAAAGAUUAUUUAAUUGGGGUGAUUAGAAGAUAAAAUUAACUCUUCUUUGUAUUUAAUAUAAUAAUUAGUUAUAUGAUCCAUAUUUAAUGAUUAAAAGAUUAAAUUACCUUAGGGAUAACAGCAUAAUUCUUUUUGAGAGUUCAUAUCGAAAAAAGAGAUUGUGACCUCGAUGUUGGAUUAAGAUUAGUUUUGGGUGCAGAUGUUCAAUAACUAGGUCUGUUCGACCUUGAAAAUCUUACAUGAUCUGAGUUUAAACCGGUGUGAGCCAGGUUGGUUUCUAUCUUUAAUUUAAUUAUAUAUUUUAGUACGAGAGGACCAAAUAUUUAAAAUAAUUUUUAUUAUGUUUGAAUAUUAAUAAU
rnacentral:rRNA from 1 species